UACCAUAGACGCUUUUUGACAAACAAAUUAGGGUUUUCAUACGGGAACAAAAUUAGGGUUUGGUGCUUAAUCCGCAGUGUAAUCCGAAGGGGAAAACAUGAUCUACGACGUGAAUUCUCCGCUUUUCAGGUCGUUCCUCAGCCAAAAGGGUGCAACAUCCGACAAGAGGAAAACUGAAGAGCAGAAACCAAAGGACCAGAAGCCAAAGGCAAAUGAAAAUAAGCCUGUUAUGACAGAAUAAUUGAUCCAUGGUGCAAGUCUGGCUUGGACGUGUACUUGAAAAGAUGCUGGCUAGAAUUACCUUCAAGAUACUGUUUUAGUCGGUCACACUUUUGGUGCCAGACUUUUGGAUAUAAAAUUUGCCUAUUGUAAUAACUCCUGCAGAUGUGGUGGUUCUCAUGAUACAGAGCUUUUAUUUUGUUGGAUAAGUUGCUUCCUUUCAAAUCUAUUGUUUGAUUGUUUUGUACAGGUCAAUACUUGGUAUCUGGGGCAUUUCUAUGGAUUGUUGGGGAAUGAAUUAUUUAUGAAUAUAUUCACUCAUGAGGAUCACUACGUUUGCUGUAUUUCGUGUUAAACAUUGGUUUUGAUUUGUGCCUUUUAUAAGCAGAUAUUGUGAAUUUCAAUCUGGUCUGAUCUUAUGUUCUAGUCGGAAGUUUAUUCGCUAUAUUUUGAGGCUUAUGCCUUAAGUGCUUCUUCCACCUGUCUUUGCAUGUUGAUUUUCAGUGUUACUGUUGUAGGAAAGUUAAUUGGGAUUAAGGGGUAAAAUGCCUGUCUGUCUAUUUUCAUUUUAGUACAACUUAUUCAAUAUGGAGCCAUAUCAGGAUACCUUUGAUUCACCAUUUAAUUUUAUUUUUUAGCACUCAAAGGUGAUUUGGAGUUUCAGAAAUUUUGACCUCUAAGUCGUACUCUAUAAUCAGUUGACCGAAGUUAUCAAAAUAUGAGUGGGAUUAACAUUGAAGGAACAGAUAACACCAGCUGACAAUAUUUUAAGUUGUAGUGAUCACAUGGAGCACAAUCAAAAAGAUAAAUGAUCCCAGGUGAGUUAGGAUCUGUCAGUCAGUCUGUCUCUCUGUCUUACCAGGUAAAUUAAUGGCAUUUCUCUCACAUUACAUGGUCAUAUACUUGAUUUUGUGUUUCUUGAAUAUCAUAUGACACCAUUGCUUUCUGACAUGAUUAAUUUCCCUUCCCUUAAUCACGCCAUGUUCUCUACUUUAAAAGUAAACUGACCACACACUUGUGAUUCUAUUUGCUAAUACAAAGAAUCUUCUUGCUUCUUCUUCUUCUUCCCCAUUUUCCAGUUUUCAAUUCUUUUCUUUCAACACGUCUAAAAGAUAAUAUUAUAUAUAUAUAUAUUUAUAUAUAACUCUCUCUAUCUCUCUAGACUAUGACUAAAAUGGGACAGGGAAAAUAUCUGAGUUGGUCCUCCCUCCCAAGACUCAAUUUUCUUCUAGUCUUCUCCUAUUACUGACUUUGUCCACUUUUGUUCCUUCAUUGUUUCAUUCUCACAAUAUUUGUUACAUUUUCAUUCAAGUUUCUAAUUCUUUCCCUCAUCCUGUGAUGUUUGUUCAUUGCCUUAUAUGCUAGCUUGCAGC